AACGCACAUUGCGCCCCUUGGUAUUCCGAGGGGCAUGCCUGUUCGAGCGUCAUUUCAACCCCUCAAGCUCUGCUUGGUGUUGGGCCGCGCUGCUGCUCCGGCGGCGGCGGGCCCCAAAAUCAGUUGGCGGUGCCGUCGCGGCUCCAAGCGUAGUAGCAAACCCUCUCGCUCUGGAGACCCGGCGGUUGCCUGCCAGAUAACCCCCCCAGAAUCUUCCGAUUCUCCCACGGUUGACCUCGGAUCAGGUAGGGAUACCCGCUGAACUUAA
rnacentral:misc_RNA from 1 species